rnacentral:rRNA from 1 species
UACGUAGGGGGCAAGCGUUGUCCGGAUUUCUUGGGCGUAAAGAGCGUGUAGGCGGUCAGGUAGGUCCGUUGUGAAAACUCGAGGCUCAACCUCGAGACGCCGAUGGAAACCAUCUGACUAGAGUCCGGAAGAGGAGAGUGGAAUUCCUGGUGUAGCGGUGGAAUGCGCAGAUAUCAGGAAGAACACCCGUGGCGAAGGCGGCUCUCUGGGACGGUACUGACGCUGAGACGCGAAAGCGUGGGGAGCGAACAGG